CGGUUCUCUGCAUAAGACACAACAAUCUGACAUAAAGUCACAUGUUUGCCAUUUCAAAACACUGCCAUUCAAAAUUACACUACAUGAGCUAAUUGGCCAAUACAUGUGCCACCUGGCCAAACACCUCAAUGGUUAAUUGUUACCACUUCAAUCAGGAAGUAAGCACUAUGAAAAGACCACAGGUGAGCACCUUUUGUUUUACAACAACAAUGGAAGCCGUUGCAGAGAGAGGAAAAGGGAGGGUGAGAAUGAGAGAGAGGGGGAGGAAGAGUGAGAGGUAGGAGUAGAGCUGGUAGAGGAGUUCAUGUCCAAAGAAGACAACAACUUUCAAAUGAAAUCAGAGCAACCUUAGUUGAUCAUGUCAUCAACCAUGGGCUGACAAUGCGAGAGGCUGGACAGAGAGUGCAGCCCAACUUGAGCCAUUGGAGUACAGACGCAACCAUGGUGGAGGAAGGGGCCAAAUGUUCACCGGGGUACAUGAAGCUGCCAUUGUAAACUUAGUUUUGGAAAAUAAUGAAAUCAGAUUACGAGAAAUUCAAAGCCACAUCAUCCAAGACAACACCAUAUUCAACGAGUCACUGUCCACAUUGGCUCGCAUUCUCAAGCGAAACCAAAUCAGAAUGAAACAACUUUAUAAGGUGCCGUUUAAGAGAAACUCUCAAAGAAACAGAGGUCAGACGAGUAUAUGUGGAUGGAGUACUGGAAAUGGAUGCUCAUGCAAUCCCACAUCUUUAUAGAUGAGGCUGGGUUCAACCUUGCAAAGACCAGAAAAGACCAGAAGAAGGGGGAGAAACGUCAUUGGCCACAGAGCCAUUAUAGAUGUUCCUGGCCAACGUGGUGGGAACAUCACAAUGUGCGCUGCCAUCUCCAAUACACAUGGUGUCCUCCACCGUCAUGCCAACCUUGGACCAUACAACACAGCCCAUAUUCUCACAUUUCUGGACAGACUCCACAACAUUCUCAUACCAUCAAAGAACCCGAUACGUUGUAGUAUGGCACAACGUGAGCUUUCAUCGUGCAGCCCCAGUCCAAAACUGGUUUGCUGACCACCCACUAUUUCUCGUGGAAUACCACCCACCAUACUCACCAUUUCUCAACCCCAUAGAAGAGUUAUUUUCGGCAUGGCGGUGGAAGGUAUACGACCGGCAGCCCUUUGUGCGCAUGCCUCUUGUACAGGCUAUGUGAUGAGAUUGAUGUGGGUGCGAUUCAGGGAUGGAUAAGGCACUCAAGGCGCUUCUUCCCUCGAUGUCUGGCAAGGGAAGAUAUUGCCUGUGAUGUGGACGAGGCGUUGUGGCCAGACCCAGCUGUGCGGAAAGAUGCUGCCUAAUUAUUCUUCUUGCCUCUUUUCUAUAUUUUUUUUCUGCCCAUUAUUUAUUUUUUUUCUGCAAUUUUCUUUUUCAGUUUUGUUUUUUUGUCAGCAUAUUUUUGUUCAGUCCAAUGUAACUAUCUGCUGUGCACUGACUUGUUUGGUGAAAAAAUAAAAUGUUUCAACAGCAUGUGUGUAUCUGCAAAUAUUUCUGUGCAUCUGAAGAAUUUUCUACAAUUUAAACUAUUUUAGUAUUAUGGCAAAGCAUACUAAAGAUGAGAGUGCUUUUCAUUAUGCCCAACAGUGUG
rnacentral:lncRNA from 1 species